UCUGAAGGUGCUCAAGCCCUGUGGGAUCACCAAUAUUCCAGGAUGAAGUAUCUCACUUUAUCACCAUUCUUCCAGUAAUUGUCCAUUUACUGUCUUUCGAAGGAAGCAAUGGAAGACUUCAGUUACCUAUGAACAGACUUGUAUGAACUAUAACAGCACGUAUAUAAGAUUUCAGAAAUAACUGUUUUUGAAGCAAAAACUCAGAAGAUUAAUCCUAAGAACACAAGUCCUUGUCAGAAUAUGCUGAGGAACGUUACUGUAAUAGUGACCGUGUAAGAAAAAAACAACCUUGAAGUUGCUGUUUGCUCUAGUGCAUAAUCUAUUCCUGAACAGAUCUUCAGUGCCAAAGGAAUAUAAAGUGACAAAUACCAUGUCAGUCUGUUAAACAAUCUCUGUGUUUCCUGAGCACUACAAAACAGACUUUCUCAGAGUUUUCUGCUGUUCUGCCAUCUCUGCUGUUUGUCAGGCUUCAUAGGAGAAAGCCAGCUGUCCUGUUAAAUUACCAGUCUUUUCAAGAGGAAAUCAACCUCAGCUUUCUUUUAACUGACAGAUAAACCUACACUGCCUGAAGUAAUAAAAAAAUCCCACCUGUACUCAGUGUCUGGCUUCAUGACUACAAAUGCUCUCAUACUGGCGUGGGGAUGAGAAAUACCUAAAAUUUGUCUGUAUCAUC